AAAUAUUGAAGUAACAACUAUUAUAUAUCUAUUUUCUAGCUAAUUUAAAUGUGUUUCCUACCUCUGCAUCCCUUUGAGACAUUGUUAUAUAGUAAGAGGUGUAACAAAUAGCAUAUUCCAAAAAGAGAACAUUUUGAAAUAGAUCAACAAAGAUUGCUAAUACAGACCGAGCUUCAGAGCUUGUCAUAUUUGAUGCUCAUAGAAACUCUUCACAGAUUAUUUAAAGCGUGUCCGUUUUUUUGUUGUGUAUUAUUUUCGUAUCAGCUGAAACGGUGAAUGUUUAGAGAGACCAGAGACCAGAGACCAGAGAUGGAGCUAGAUUGUAUCUUGGCAGCAGCUUGGACUUUUGAGCCUAGAAUACCUCCUCAUAUAUAAUGGUAUCUUCUAUUUGGUUGUUUUUGGUUAAUAGUUUAUCUGUAAUACUGGAUGUAGACUCGAAUCCAAUACUAUGUUCCUGUAUAAUGUUUGAUUAUAAUUAAAAUUUGGUUGAUUUAUGCUUCGGCAAAAGAGCAAAUUAA
rnacentral:lncRNA from 1 species